CAUGCACCAAUUUGUAAGUCGCUCUGGAUAAGAGCGUCUGCUAAAUGACGUAAA
rfam:Salmo salar isolate Sally breed double haploid chromosome ssa28, whole genome shotgun sequence.